rnacentral:rRNA from 1 species
GGAAGGAUCAUUACUGAGUUGUUGACACGAGCUGUUGCUGGUCCUCAAAACAAGGGGGCAUGUGCACGCUCUGUUCACACAUCCACUCACACCUGUGCACCCACCGUAGUUCUAUGGUCUGGAGGACUUGCCGUCCUCUUCCCGUGGUUCUACGUCUUUACACAUACACCGUAGCGAAGUCUUAUGGAAUGUGCGCCGCGUUUAACGCAAUACAAUACAACUUUCAGCAACGGAUCUCUUGGCUCUCGCAUCGAUGAAGAACGCAGCGAAAUGCGAUAAGUAAUGUGAAUUGCAGAAUUCAGUGAAUCAUCGAAUCUUUGAACGCACCUUGCGCCUCUUGGCUAUUCCGAGGGGCAUGCCUGUUUGAGUAUCAUGAACACCUCAACUCUCACGGUUUGCCCGUGAUGAGCUUGGACUUCUGGAGGUUUUGCUGGCCUGCGGUCGGCUCCUCUCAAAUCGAUCAGCUUACCAGUGUUUGGUGGCGUCAUGGGUGUGAUAACUAUCUACGCUUGUGGCCGUCCGCCAGGUAACCUUCAGCGAUGGAGGUUUGCUGGGGCUUACAAACGUCUCUCCCCAGCGAGGACAGCUUUUUGAACGUUCGAUCUCAAAUCAGGUAGGACUACCCGCUGAACUUAAGCAUAUCAAUAAGCGGAGGAAAAGAAACUAACAAGGAUUCCCCUAGUAACUGCGAGUGAAGCGGGAAGAGCUCAAAUUUAAAAUCUGGCGUGCCUCUGGCCGUCCGAGUUGUAGUCUGGAGAAGCGUCUUCCGUGUUGGACCGUGUAUAAGUCUCUUGGAACAGGGCGUCAUAGAGGGUGAGAAUCCCGUCUUUGACACGGACUACCAAUGCUUUGUGAUGCGCUCUCAAAGAGUCGAGUUGUUUGGGAAUGCAGCUCAAAAUGGGUGGUAAAUUCCAUCUAAAGCUAAAUAUAGGCGAGAGACCGAUAGCGA